UACAGAGGUCCCGAGCGUUGCUCGGAUUCAUUGGGCGUAAAGGGUGCGUAGGCGGCUUCCUAAGUUUGAUGUGAAAUCCCGGGGCUCAACCCUGGAAUUGCAUUGAAUACUGGGAGGCUAGAGUACUGGAGAGGAAACUGGAAUUUACGGUGUAGCAGUGAAAUGCGUAGAGAUCGUAAGGAAGACCAGUGGCGAAGGCGAGUUUCUGGACAGUAACUGACGCUGAGGCACGAAGGCCAGGGGAGCAAGCGGG
rnacentral:rRNA from 1 species